UACGAAGGGUGCUAGCGUUGUUCGGAAUCACUGGGCGUAAAGCGCGCGUAGGCGGCUUAGCAAGUCAGAGGUGAAAUGCCAGGGCUCAACCCUGGAACUGCCUUUGAAAGUGCUAAGCUAGAGUGUCGGAGGGGAUAGCGGAAUUGCUAAUGUAGAGGUGAAAUUCGUAGAUAUUAGCAGGAACACCGGUGGCGAAGGCGGCUAUCUGGACGACAACUGACGCUUAGGCGCGAAAGCGCGGGGAUCAAACAGG
rnacentral:rRNA from 1 species